AUUGAACGCUGGCGGCAGGCCUAACACAUGCAAGUCGAGCGAGAGGCGGAAGGGGGAGUAAUGUAUGGGGACUGCCCGAUAGAGGGGGAUAACAACAGGAGAAGGUAGCUAAUACAGCAUACUAUCGGAUAACCGAUAUGGGAUUAGCUAGUAGGUGAGGUAAUGGAGCACCUAGGCGACGAUCCCUAGCUGGUCUGAGAGGAUGAUCAGCCACACUGGGACUGAGACACGGCCCAGACUCCUACGGAGGCAGCAGUGGGGAAUAUUGCGCAAUGGGCGCAAGCCUGAUGCAGCCAUGCCGCGUGUAUGAAGAAGGCCCUAGGGUUGUAAAGUACUUUCAGUCGGGAGGCGUUACCGACAGAAGAAGCACCGGCUAACUCCGUGCCAGCAGCCGCGGUAAUUC
rnacentral:rRNA from 1 species